UGGUGGAGUGAUUUGUCUGGUUAAUUCCGAUAACGAACGAGACCUUAACCUGCUAACUAGUGUGUGGAACUGACGUUUUGACACACUUCUUAGAGGGACUAUCUGUGACUAACAGAUGGAAGUUUGAGGCAAUAACA
rnacentral:rRNA from 1 species